rnacentral:rRNA from 1 species
GACGAACGCUGGCGGCGUGCUUAACACAUGCAAGUCGAACGAAGUGGCGAACGGUUGAGUAACGCGUAAUCAACCUGCCCUUCCGAGGGGGACAACAGUUGGCAACGACUGCUAAUACCUCAUAUUGAAGGCGGGGUUUGCGUCUGAUUAGCGAGUUGGAGGGGUACCGGCCCACCAAGGCGAUGAUCAGUCGCCGGUCUGAGAGGAUGAACGGCAACAGUGGGACUGAGACACGGCCCAGACUCCUACGGGAGGCAGCAGUGGGGAAUCUUCCGCAAUGGACGAAAGUCUGACGGAGCAACGCCGCGUGAGUGAUGACGGCCUUCGGGUUGUAAAGCUCUGUUAAUCGGGACGCGGUACCGGAAUAGAAAGCCACGGCUAACUACGUGCCAGCCGCCGCGGUAAUUC